CCUCCUACGGGACGCAGCAGACGGCGAUGCAAGCCAGGAGUGAAAGCCCGGGGCCCAACCCCGGGACUGCUCUUGGAACUGCGUGGCUAGAGUGCAGGAGGGGCAGGCGGAAUUCCUGGUGUAGCGGUGAAAUGCGUAGAUAUCAGGAGGAACACCGGUGGCGAAGGCGGCCUGCUGGACUGCAACUGACGUUGAGGCCCGAAAGCGUGGGGAGCAAACAGGAUUAGAAACCCGGGUAGUCCUUCA
rnacentral:rRNA from 1 species